AAGGCAGUCGCUUAACCCACUGAGCCUCCCUCAUGCUCUCUGAAGAAAACUGUCUCAACAGCUCCUCGUCUGUGUCCUCGAGCCCGAGGCUUACCUUGAUUUCGAGCGCAACAGCACCACUCUGUACAUGUAACUUGCGGUGUGGAGCCCAGUGCGGGGGCCUGAACCCACAACGGUGAGAUCAAACCUGAGCUGAGAACAAGAGUCAGAUGCUCAACUGAGUCACCCAGGAGCCGCUUACUUUUCAUUUAAACGUCCACUUAUUUCAAAAGGAAUCUAUAUUUCUCAUAUGACCAUAAAAGCAGAAUCACUUACCAUAAGUAGAAAGCUGCCAUACAAAUGGAUGCAAUGAAAAUACUAGAUUCUAGCCAGACACUGAUCUCUACCAAAGAUUCUGAACCAUACCUCUGUUCUCUCUUUGUUGAAAAGGAAAAUUAGCCAUUAGAGAUGUGUUAAAGAUACAUUAAUUCCAAACUGAUUGGAAGGGCUAAGAAGAACUGAAAAGGGCACAGCUAUGAGACUCUGUUACUUCUCUGCCUGUGUGUACAACUUGGAAGCAUCUCAUGUCCAGUGCCAAGUGAUUUGGUCGCGGCUCAGAGACCCAUUAAGGAGGAGCAAGGACACAAUGACAGUAACAAGGAGACAGAUGACAUCAGAGGGAUAAAAUGAAUUAAAAAACUAGAUAAAAGAACUAUAAAAACUUUACAGUUUAGGGUCACUUAAUGGGCUUUCUACACUUCAUUGUCCCAAACUGAUUAUGAAAAUAAACUCAUUUCCUCCA